UUCUACCUGACGAGUCCAAAGUAGAACGAAACGCGCGUCCUGGAU
rnacentral:hammerhead_ribozyme from 1 species